rnacentral:rRNA from 1 species
UAGGAACCUGCCCGGGGGUGGGGGAUAACCAAGGGAAACCUUGGCUAAUACCGCAUAACCUCGAGAGAGCAAAGCUGCCCGCAAGGGUGGCGCCCGCGGAGGGGCCUGCGUCCGAUUAGCUUGUUGGUGAGGUAAUGGCUCACCAAGGCGACGACGGGUAGCCGGCCUGAGAGGGCGACCGGCCACACUGGGGACCNGACACGCCG